rnacentral:rRNA from 1 species
AUUGAACGCUGGCGGCAGGCCUAACGCAUGCAAGUCGAGCGGCAGCGGAAAGUAGCUUGCUACUUUGCCGGCGAGCGGCGGACGGGUGAGUAAUGUCUGGGAAACUGCCUGAUGGAGGGGGAUAACUACUGGAAACGGUAGCUAAUACCGCAUAAUGUCGCAAGACCAAAGAGGGGGACCUUCGGGCCUCUUGCCAUCAGAUGUGCCCAGAUGGGAUUAGCUAGUAGGUGGGGUAACGGCUCACCUAGGCGACGAUCCCUAGCUGGUCUGAGAGGAUGACCAGCCACACUGGAACUGAGACACGGUCCAGACUCCUACGGGAGGCAGCAGUGGGGAAUAUUGCACAAUGGGCGCAAGCCUGAUGCAGCCAUGCCGCGUGUAUGAAGAAGGCCUUCGGGUUGUAAAGUACUUUCAGCGGGGAGGAAGGUGUUGAGGUUAAUAACCUCAGCAAUUGACGUUACCCGCAGAAGAAGCACCGGCUAACUCCGUGCCAGCCGCCGCCGUAA